CAGGAUGAACGCUGGCGGCGUGCCUAAUACAUGCAAGUCGAGCGAACAGACAAGGAGCUUGCUCCUUUGACGUUAGCGGCGGACGGGUGAGUAACACGUGGGUAACCUACCUAUAAGACUGGGAUAACUUCGGGAAACCGGAGCUAAUACCGGAUAAUAUUUCGAACCGCAUGGUUCGAUAGUGAAAGAUGGUUUUGCUAUCACUUAUAGAUGGACCCGCGCCGUAUUAGCUAGUUGGUAAGGUAACGGCUUACCAAGGCGACGAUACGUAGCCGACCUGAGAGGGUGAUCGGCCACACUGGAACUGAGACACGGUCCAGACUCCUACGGGAGGCAGCAGUAGGGAAUCUUCCGCAAUGGGCGAAAGCCUGACGGAGCAACGCCGCGUGAGUGAUGAAGGUCUUCGGAUCGUAAAACUCUGUUAUUAGGGAAGAACAUACGUGUAAGUAACUAUGCACGUCUUGACGGUACCUAAUCAGAAAGCCACGGCUAACUACGUGCCAGCAGCCGCGGUAAUACGUAGGUGGCAAGCGUUAUCCGGAAUUAUUGGGCGUAAAGCGCGCGUAGGCGGUUUUUUAAGUCUGAUGUGAAAGCCCACGGCUCAACCGUGGAGGGUCAUUGGAAACUGGAAAACUUGAGUGCAGAAGAGGAAAGUGGAAUUCCAUGUGUAGCGGUGAAAUGCGCAGAGAUAUGGAGGAACACCAGUGGCGAAGGCGACUUUCUGGUCUGUAACUGACGCUGAUGUGCGAAAGCGUGGGGAUCAAACAGGAUUAGAUACCCUGGUAGUCCACGCCGUAAACGAUGAGUGCUAAGUGUUAGGGGGUUUCCGCCCCUUAGUGCUGCAGCUAACGCAUUAAGCACUCCGCCUGGGGAGUACGACCGCAAGGUUGAAACUCAAAGGAAUUGACGGGGACCCGCACAAGCGG
rnacentral:rRNA from 1 species